rnacentral:rRNA from 1 species
AUGAUGGUGGUGGCAACUACGAGCCCCGGCGGGCUGGAGGCGCUGCAGGUGCGCGAGGUCGAGGAUCUCUCGGCGCUGGGGGAGGGCAAGCUGCUUGUCGGGGUGGCCGCUGCCGGCGUCAAUCGCGGUGACACGGUCCAGCGGCAGGGCCGGUACUCGCCGCCGGCCGGCGCCUCCCCCUACCCGAGCCUUGAGUGCUCCGGCACCAUCGUCGUGCUCGGGGCCAACACCCCCCGCGCUGGGCCGUCGGUUGCAUUUGCAGGUGUACGCGCUGCUUACCGGCGGCGGGUAUGCGGAGAAGGUUGUGGUUCUGGCAGGGCAACUUCUACCGACGACAGAGGGAGGGUCGCUGACUGA